rnacentral:rRNA from 1 species
GAGAAGAAUUUUGACGGUAUCUGAGGAAUAAGCAUCGGCUAACUCUGUGCCAGCAGCCGCGGUAAGACAGAGGAUGCAAGCGUUAUCCGGAAUGAUUGGGCGUAAAGCGUCUGUAGGUGGCUUAAAAAGUCUCCUGUCAAAGAUCAGGGCUUAACCCUGGGCCGGCAGGAGAAACUCUUAGGCUAGAGUUUGGUAGGGGCAGAGGGAAUUCCCGGUGGAGCGGUGAAAUGCGUAGAGAUCGGGAGGAACACCAAAGGCGAAAGCACUCUGCUGGGCCACAACUGACACUGAGAGACGAAAGCGAGGGGAGCAAAAGGGAUUAGAUACCCCUGUAGUCCUCGCCGUAAACGAUGGAUACUAGAUGUUGGAUAGGUUAAAUCAUUCAGUAUCGUAGCUAACGCGUGAAGU